rnacentral:tRNA from 3 species
GGGCCCGUAGCUCAGUCUGGUAGAGGAACCCAAAUCGCCAAUAGCACCGGGCUUUUAACCCGGGGGUCGCGGGUUCAAAGCCCGCCGGGCCCGCCA